AUUGAACGCUGGCGGCAGGCCUAACACAUGCAAGUCGAGCGGAUGAAGGGAGCUUGCUCCUGGAUUCAGCGGCGGACGGGUGAGUAAUGCCUAGGAAUCUGCCUGGUAGUGGGGGAUAACGUCCGGAAACGGGCGCUAAUACCGCAUACGUCCUGAGGGAGAAAGUGGGGGAUCUUCGGACCUCACGCUAUCAGAUGGGCCUAGGUCGGAUUAGCUAGUUGGUGGGGUAAAGGCCUACCAAGGCGACGAUCCGUAACUGGUCUGAGAGGAUGAUCAGUCACACUGGAACUGAGACACGGUCCAGACUCCUACGGGAGGCAGCAGUGGGGAAUAUUGGACAAUGGGCGAAAGCCUGAUCCAGCCAUGCCGCGUGUGUGAAGAAGGUCUUCGGAUUGUAAAGCACUUUAAGUUGGGAGGAAGGGCAGUAAGUGAAUACCUUGCUGUUUUGACGUUACCAACAGAAUAAGCACCGGCUAACUUCGUG
rnacentral:rRNA from 1 species